GAACAGGGAAAGAUAGAGAGUGGAGAGGGGAGGAAGGUGGAGACCGAAGGAGAUAACAGGCACGAGUUAUACGGAUGGAUAGAUGGAAGGGCAGGAUGGUAGUAGGGAUAAAGGAAGGAGAGAAAUAAGUGGUAUAGGACGCGACACGACACAACGCGUGGCGGCAGUCGGCAACGGCUACGGGAUACGGCUACGGCGACAGCGACGGCAACGGCGGUGGUAGCAACGACACGACAACGGAACGAAGACGCGCGCAAACCUUACAAUACGAGAGAAGGAGACGAACAUCCGAGUGUGGCUUACGGGAAACUGGGGUUCUCGAGAACGGGAUUCGACCGCACCGAUAUGCGCGGAACGUUAGUCAGCCUCUCACACGCUCUCUCUCUCUCUCUCUCUCUCUUUCUCUCUAUCCCUCCUUGUUUCCUUUCCUGAUACGUCUACUAUCAAUCCUUCUCUCUCCCUCUCUUUUCUUUCUCUCCCCCUCUUUCUCAACGAAACUGCCGAUAGACUGCAGCGCUAUCUGUCGACGACGCGCUAAUCUAAAACAUAGCCACCAAUCUCUAUUGCAAGACCAGUAGCACGCGCAUCGAAUUAUCGACUUUUCAUUGGCUCAACGUUACCUUUCUUUGACCAAUCAACGUUUACCAUUACCACUCAAUAAACUUAUUUUAUAAUA